UGGUUCUCCCGCAACGCUACUCUGUUUACCAGGUCAGGUCCGGAAGGAAGCAGCCAGAGCAGACGACGUGUGUGCCGGGAUGUAGCUGGCAGGG
rnacentral:SRP_RNA from 1 species